GGAAAAGCUGCUUCUGGCCAAGAGCAAGCUGGUGGACUCAGAAACUUUCACAGAGCUGGACUGAGGCUGUGGAAUUCACAAAAGAUUAGGGAACCUAUGGAGGUUUGGAAAAAAAUGUGAUCUAUCUGGAGGACUUCUUCCUGCCAUUGUAUUUUAAAAAAACUAAGGCCAAAUUUGACUCAGUGGCACUGGUGUGUUUUUGGAGUACCUCAUCUCAGAUUUAAAUCAG
rnacentral:lncRNA from 1 species